rnacentral:rRNA from 1 species
GACGAACGCUGGCGGCGUGCCUAAUACAUGCAAGUAGGACGCAGUUGCGAACGGGUGAGUAACGCGUAGGUAACUACCUAUUAGAGGGGGAUAACUAUUGGAAACGAUAGCUAAUACCGCAUACUAGUAGCUGGACCUGCGUUGUAUUAGCUAGUUGGUGAGGUAAAGGCCAACAAAGGCGACGAUACAUAGCCGACCUGAUAGAGUGUUCGGCCACACUGGGACUGAGACACGGCCCAGACUCCUACGGGAGGCAUCAGUGGGGAAUAUUGGACAAUUGGCGAAAUCCUGAUCCAGCCAUGCCGCGUGUGUGAAGAAGGUCUUCGGAUUGUAAAGCACUUUAAGUUAGGAGGCGUUACCAACAGAAUAAACACCGGCUAACUUCGUGCAAGCAGCCGCGGUAAUAC